AUGAAACGAUGUGUGUUGGUAAUAAUAAUAAUGUUUGUACAUAGAAAAAUUAAAGCAUUUCUUCUGGUUGAACUAUCAUGCAGCAAUCAUAAAGUGCUUCAUCAUGCAUACAGUUGCAUUUUUCUGUUUUUACUCUUACAGGGCAGCAAGAAGAAGACCAACCCUGAUCCUCAACUGCAGGUUUCCACCACGGAUGUCACCACUCGUGCAGGACUGGUUAAAAUGCUUCUCCAGCCACAUGACAAAAUGAGAUACAAGGAGCUUCGGGAGGCCAUGUCUUAUACCAAGGUUGCAGACCAGACAAGAGAGAUGAAAGAAGCCGCAUUUUUAAAGAAGGUCCAACAAAAAGAGCAGAAAGCCAAACAUAUCUGCUGGCAAGUUGAUCUGGGUGAUGAACCAUGUUCAACAGACCAGAAACUUCAAAUUUUAAAGGAGCAAGAUGAGGCUCUUGCUGCAUACAAAGUAAGCCAAUGUAUUGGUUUAAUUCAUAUUGAAAUUUUUUUGCCACUUUCCACUGAUCGCUCAUGCUUUUUAUGUGAAUUUCAGCUAAAAUACAGUGGUGAGUCGGUGACCUCUUCAAGAUCUUCAACUAAACUUUCCUCACGUCGAGUUUUGCGACAUGUUGGACAGCUCCCAGAAUGCACUGCUGUUUUCAGCAGCUAUGGCACUGGUCAGCUGGAGGUCAGACAGAGAGCGCUCAGAAUCUUCCAGCAGGCUGCUCGAAAGGUAAUAUUGUUAAUUUAA
rnacentral:lncRNA from 12 species